AGUGGGGAAUCUUAGACAAUGGGGGAAACCCUGAUCUAGCCAUGCCGCGUGGACGAUGAAGGCCUUAGGGUUGUAAAGUCCUUUCAGCUGGGAAGAUAAUGACGGUACCAGCAGAAGAAGCCCCGGCUAACUCCGUGCCAGCAGCCGCGGUAAUACGGAGGGGGCUAGCGUUGUUCGGAAUUACUGGGCGUAAAGCGCGCGUAGGCGGACUUUUAAGUCGGGGGUGAAAUCCCAGGGCUCAACCCUGGAACUGCCUUCGAUACUGGGAGUCUGGAGUUCGAGAGAGGUGAGUGGAAUUCCGAGUGUAGAGGUGAAAUUCGUAGAUAUUCGGAGGAACACCAGUGGCGAAGGCGGCUCACUGGCUCGAUACUGACGCUGAGGUGCGAAAGCGUGGGGAGCAAA
rnacentral:rRNA from 1 species